UUCUCUAUCCACAAGAACUCAUUCAACAAUAAUGAUUGAACCAAAAAUACCUCGAGCUGAACAACUAAAGAAUUGGGCCAAAGAACAUUGUGACACACUUAACGCAUUGAAAAGAUUAAGAGACUACAAUAAUGCUACAAUCAAUCUUGCAAAUCCAGAAAAAGAAGAAAUUUCAAAAAUAGCAACUGUUCCGGCAUUGAUUAAUCCUGCUCAACCUGCUUGGGUUAAGGGCAAAAUCAGCAUCAACAUUGACAACAAAAAUACUUGGUAUAUAGGAUGUAGCCACUGUUUAAAAAAGGUUUAUGCAGAAAGUGACGAACUAUUUAAUUGCAUGCAUUGUGUUGAAAAGACAGCAGUUGGCACUCCAAGGUGCAAAAUGGAUGUGGAAAUUGUUGAUGAGACUGGGCACAUUGUGGCAUCAGUAUUCGGACUACCUGCAGAAACAUUGUUGUUACGUUCAAGCAAACAAGUUAUGGAACUAGAACAAGAGGUAUGCCAGGAUCAAAAAGGUUCAUGGAUAUGAGUCGGGCAAUGCCUCAACAACAAUCUUCUUCAUCAACACAUGAGCGAUUGUUGAAUGAUGCACCACUUGAAGACAUUUUUACAAAUCAAGAACAAACUCAGGAUAAUGAGACAUUUCAAGAGCAAACUCAGUACAGUGAAACACCACAAGAGCAAAAUGAAGAUUUAAUUUGCAAUCUUCAUCUAAAAAGAAAAUAAGAACUACGUGGGAAGUUGAUGUGAUUAGAAAGUUUACAUUAUUAUAUUUAUUGAUUGACAUGUACAAAAAGUUUGAAUAAAUCGAUACAUUAAUUUAUUUCCCUUUAUUGACAGAUGGAGAAGGAUUUGUAAAGAAGAAAAAAUUGAAAGUUAAAGAAGUUUGGACACUCCCAUUGGGUGAACAAAUCAUAGUCCCAUUUGACAACUUCGAUACACCAUUCACUGAAGCAGCUGGAUCAAGUGCUAGGUCAGGCUGUAAAGUCAGGGUAUUCGAACAUAUGUGUUUGAUGUGCGGAGUUAAUUGCGGAAUUGUAAGGAAUUAAUUUGCA